GCGGAUCACUCUGGUCUCUUCUGCUCUCUCUCUUUUCUCUUCAGAAAUUAAAGCAGAGCUGCAUCUGAGAGUGGAAAAGGUCCCCCUUCUGUUAUAACAUUCUUGGAUGCUGUGGAACCUGGCUGCUGCAACACUGCGUGUAUGUGAUUUAUAAAAGGGUGUGCAUAUGUAUAUAGAAAUUCCACCUUCUACUGCAACAGAAGACUUAUCAGCGCCAGAUUCCUAAAACAGCAUCUUGCCACAGCUGUACAUCUUACAGCACUGGAGGAGAAAGAUUUCUAAGAGGUCUAACAAUGGGUCAGAUCAUUCCUCUACCUGCGACAAACCUUCACAAGGAACAGGGAACUUCCUUGAGGAGUUUUCUCUGCACCAUUCAAUCAGAGAGGUGUGAGUGCAUAUUUUUCUCUUUCUCAGCUGCCCCUUUUGAAAUAUACAAGGUGUUCGGACCAGAGAACCAGGAAAUCUCAAGAGAUCUGCCAGAGACCAGACAUUUCUGUAUAGAGACCAAGUGAUUCUGUGUUAAGUCCAAAGUUGAUUUAAGUGAGUUACAAAGGGAUCUCACUAAACUGGUCAACUGGGCAAUAAAAUUGCAGAUGAAAUUCAAUGUUGAUAGGUGUAAAGUGAUGCACAUUUGGAACACAUAAUCCCAACUAUCCAUACAAAAUUAUGGGGUCUAAAUUAGCUGUUACUAAUCAAGAAAGAAAUCUUGGAGUCAUUGUAGAUAGUUCUCGGAAAACAUCUCCUUAAUAUAUAGAAGCAGUCAAACUCCUAACAGAUAUUAGAAACCAUUAGGAAAGAGAUAGAUAAGAAGACAGAAAAUAUCGUAAUGCCAUUAAUAAAUCUAUAGUACCCCCACAACUUGUGUGCAGGUCUGGUUGCCCCCUCUCAAAAAACAUAUUUUAGAAUUGGAAAAGGUACAGAAAAGAGCAAGAAAAAUGAUUAGUGGUAUGAAACAAGUUCCAUACAUGGAGACAUUAGAAAGACUGGGAUGGUUCAGCUUGGAAAAGAGAUGAUUACGGGGGGGAUAUGAUAGAGGUUUAUAAACUCAUGACUGGUAUGGAGAAAGUAAAUAAGGAAAUGUUAUUUACCCUUUUGUAUAACACAAGAACCAAGGGCCACCCAAUGAAAUUAAUAGGGAGCAAGUUUAAAACAAACAGAAGGAAGUACUUUUUCAUACAACACACAGUCAAUCUGAGUGACUUGUUGGGGAUGUUCUGAAGGCCAAAAGUAUAAUUGGAUUAAAAAAUAAUUAGAUACGUUCCUGGAGGAUAGCUCCAUCACUGAUUAUUAGCCAGGAUGGUCAGGGGCACAACCUCAUUCUCCUGGUGUCUCUAAACCUCUGACUGCCAGAAACUGAUAUUGGACAACAGGAGAUAGAUCACUUGAUAAUUGCCCUGUUUUGUUCAUUCUCUCUGAAGCAUCUGGCACUGGCCACUGUCGGAAGACAGGAUACUAGGUUAGAAGGAGCACUGGUCUGACCCAGUAUGGCCAUUCUUAGGUACUUGUGUUAUGUUCUUAUGUGUUGCCUCCCAGCUCCUAGCAGUUCUUUCUCAUCCUUGGCAGCACAGUUCCAGUGGAGUUAUGGUGAAAGGGCUUCCAGCUCAUGGUGAUCAGACAGCAAGUAUGAAAAAAUGGGACGGGGGCUGAGGGUAAUAGGCACCUAUAUAAAAAGUCCUAUAAAAUUGGGAUGUAGUCACUCUAUUCCAACUGCUAGCCACUACCCCAAAACAUUGCCAUGGCAUGGAGGGACUCCACACAAUGGUUAAUACAGCCAGUGGCUGUAUUUACUUCUGACCAGCUUCUCUGGCUGUAUUGGAGGGGAAAACACACUAGUCCUCCCAAGUCCAUGCAUGCUCUUCCUCCCCAAGCCACUUUCCAGAGCUAGAUCCCUGACUUUUCAGAGCAUGCCAGAGAUGGUAGGUGAGGGGAAUAUUGCCUGAGUUCUUUUUCCACACAACAGAGUGUCCCCUCCACACACAGAGAUCAUGAGGGAAGAUGAUCUAGGCCAAUCUUACUAUAGCUUUUCUGGUCUUGUAUGUUGUGAAGAAAAAACUAACUGUAACUUUAGAGAUAUCCCAUGUGCCUAUUUUGUGGGAUUUUUUAUUUAUUUAUACAAUUGAGAUGAAGCUGAGAAACCUCACACCAGCAUGAAAAGGUUAAAGAGAGUCUAUGGGCCCAGCUGGCCCUGCCCUGCUAUACCUGUAGCCAAUGCCAGGCCUGGGAGGAGAAGACAAGGAGAGAACCUGGCCCAGUUCAGGGCUAACUGGUGAAGAUGAAGGAGCAAGCUGCUUCUUUACGUGAGGGAAGCAUCACUAGGAGCCUGAGAGCCACCAGGGAAGAAGUACCGCAUCUCUGAUCAAGGAGAACUCAGCAGUAAGUGAACCAUGAGAUUGAACUAUAGAGAUAUUGUGGGUUUGGGCCCCUCCAAUCUUAAGUCCACUCCACCCAGAGGACCCUGAGACUGUGGCAAGAUAGAGCAAAAGGCCCACAAGUGGGCACUAUGUGAGCCGAGCCUUUUUAGCAGCAAUGCCUCUGAGAACCCUAAUAAAACUAUCUAAUUUAUUUGAUUGGAAAUUACCCAGCAGUGGCUUAUGUAAUUUUUCAUUUUCUGUGCUGAUUCUUCCGAAGCAUCACUGAAUAUGUUGGCAAGUUGUUGACCCAGUUCAGCUUCUUUGAACUUUCUGUGCCUCAUGCCAGUGUGAAAGAGCAUUUCACAAGAAAGAAGCUCUGGAAGGCGAAUGCCAAUGCAGUGCUUUGUUAAUCCCGGGCACACAGAGAAGUCAGCCAAAGCAAAACAAUACAACAGUUUCCACCUCCUAGAGAGGUGGUGAAAUGUCCUUCCCUAGAAGUUUUUAAGGUCAGGCUUGACAAAGCCCUGGCUGGGAUGAUUUGUUGGGGAUUGAUCCUGCUUUGAGCAGGGGGUUGGACUAGAUGACCUCCUGAGGUCCCUUCCAGCCCUGAUAUUCUAUGAUCCUAUGAUAUUUUGGGUGUCUGUGAACUCCAGAAUGUGGCUGGAGAUCUUGUUUUCCUCAUUUCAUAGGCAGUCCCAUUGCAGUCAUGCAAUUAAGGAGUGCAGGAUUUGUCCCUUGGAAGGAAUUAGCUGGAAGUUCUUGGAGUAGCUGAAUGGUUGAAUUUGGGGGUCAUAUUUGUGGGGCAGGGGCAGAGAACAAUUAUGGUAACAUCUGUCUCUCCGAACAUAUUGUUGUGAUUUAUCCAAUCCAGUCUUCCUUUAUUAACUUCAUUUUCUUCUGUCCUGUCAAAAACUGACAUAGGCAACAGGCAUCUUUUCAUUGUAUAAAAUGCAACAGAGACAAGGAAGAAGUAUUUUGGAUGGAUAGCUACUUACUUGAAACAUCAACACAAGCCACAUCAAUCUUCUCUGUAAAUAAAUCACAUAUUAGAAAUUAACAAACUGCUACAAAGGGAGAAAGGAUCCCCAACAGAAAGUGAGAGAAAGUAGAUAUUGUUGUUUUGCCUGGGAGAUUUGGAGAUUGCCCCCCCCCCAUUUCCCCCCCUAGAUCUCCAUGGGGCAAGCUUUUUGUUUGCUUGUUUUUUAUCCUGAUGGAUCCCUGAUUUCAUUUCUUGGUAAGAAUUCUGGAGAUCACCACUGGGGCUGUGCUGGCCUAUUCAAUCUCCCAGGCUGAAUGGCAACUGGAGAGGGACCCUCCCACCCCCCAGCCUAUGGAGCUCAGCAGGCACUGGGUAUAACUCAAUGCCUCCCCAACAUCAUCUACAAGUACCUGGGGUGGGGUGGGAUGGGGUUGGGGGGAAAAACACAGAAUCCUCCCAUAGGAAGCGGAAGGGACUUAACAGCAGCAUAAACCUCAUUAUGCAGCCGCCAUUGAGAAGACAAAGUUAUUCAGAAUAUGUUGGGUCUGCACCAUCAUGGAGCUCAGCUAGGCCU